rnacentral:lncRNA from 10 species
CUGCUUUUUGUGUGUGCCUUUCUUUUAGCCUGGUUAACUUAAUCUAAAUUAAGUCUCCUUAAUUCUCUAAACUUCUCAGGUCCUAAGUCCUGUCGGAUUAGGACCACAUCCUUAUGAUCUCAUUUAACCAUCUUAAAAGCCCUUUCUCCAAAGAUGGUCACAUUGGGGGUUUGGGCUUCAACAUCUGAAUUUUCAGUGGGCACAGUGCAGUCAAUAGCAACAUCAGAGAAAUGAACAAGAUACACAUAACAUCCCUUGAGCAAUUGUAUCAUCAUGCCUGAAGCUAUGUCUACCACCAGAAUUACUUAAAAAUGAGAACCAGUAAAUUCUAUUUUAUUUUUUAUAAGCCAAUUUUGAUGAGAUCUUCUGUUAUUUGUAACAGAAAGUGUCCUGGUUGAUACAACAGGCAACUCUUUAGUGCCAACUUACAGGUCGCCAAGGGCAAGAAUGGGAUUUGUUAGAAGAAAUUAGAAUCCUGAAACAGAAGCAAACACAAGAAAUAGUGACAUCAGUGAUUAUGCAGGAUUGAGGACAUAAAGCUACAAUAACUUAAUUCCAAAAGGUAAUCUGUUUCUAGCUUGAAGCUAGUUUUAAAACACAGGAUAUGAACUUUUUAAUUUACUGCAGAAAAUCUUAAAGGCACAUUCAGUACCUGAGAAUCAAAAGCAAAAAAAAAACACCACAAUUGAAUCAAAACGACUUCUAGAAUGUAACAUAGAUGCCACUUAGAGACUCUUGAGUUUGAUUAGAAAUGAAUUUAUUCACAAGACUGAUUAUAUUCAGUUUCUUCUCUUUAUGGAAGAGAAAACCAAUGGCCAGAGAUUCAAAGCAAUGUUUGCAUCCUGGAGUACAAAAACACUAGCUUUUACAGUAAAGAUCUUGACUCAUAUUUAACUUAAGCAUAAUGUUUUCUGCUUUUCAGAAAGCGACAACUCUCCAUUUAUUAUAACCCUGUCCUCACUCUGAUUAUUCACUUUGAAGGAAGGACAAUCAGGGUGAGUCAGUGGCCCUGAAGGCAAAGAAGAGGGUUUUCAAGCACAGGUGGGGAAAUAAGGGAGUAUCUCCAAACAACAAAGGUGACCUGAGGUUUACUAAGGUAAGAUGCCAAGAAUAGAUGCCUAUUAAUCCCUGUCGCACGGGUCACAGGCAACUCUGUCAACCAAAUGUGUGGCUGUGUACCUAACGGUGUGUGUUCAGCCAGGAUAUUAAGGCACAGAGAGCAAUACAUCUCCCUGCCGCCCUUCCUGCCCCUGCUGAAUGCAUCAGGUCAGCAUCCUACUCUGACUGCAGAGAAGAAAAUGACAUGUGCAUAGAACAACAUGGAAAGGAAAUAAACGUCCUUGAGCAGAGACAGAUGAGAAAGAUUAUUUUAUAUGGCAUGUUAAAGAAGGCAGAGAAAAUUCAGCAGGUUUAUGCUCUUGGGGCCUUAAUAAACUGACUAAAAAUAAAAUAAUUAUCCUAAAGGUUCUCAUAUGACAGUUUUCUCUUCAAAGGAUACUCCUUAGCCACUUUUUUCACAAAAAGAGAUCACUUCUUUUUAUAUAAGCACUAAUCGUGUUAUAUAUGUGUUAACCUAUGUUUCUCCCCUUCAUUUCCUCUCUCUCUAUAUAUUUUUUCUCACAUAUAACACAUGUAAACUAAGUGUGGAUGAAAUUAAGAAAUAAAUGCAUGAUUACGUAUUGUUAUAAGUAACUUCUUCCUCCUUUAUUUCUGCCUUGUAUUGUUUCUCUCUGUUAAAUCCCUGAUGCAAAAUUUGCCAAAAAUUCUGCAGUUUAAAUGUCAUGGGCUAUGAACAAAAAGAAUGGAUGAGAUAAAAAUGUUUGGAAAGGUGGGUGGAAAGUCUGUAAAUUUUAAUAAAAACUCAAAUUCGUGCUCGUUUUGGCAGCACAUAUACUAAAAUUGGAACGACACAGAGAAGAUUAGCAUGGCCCCUGCACAAGGAUGACACGCAAAUUUGUGAAGUGUUCCAUAUUUUUCCAAUUUGUAAUAAAGAUACUUUUUAAAAUUUAAAAAAACCCUCGAAUUUGUUAGAAUGUUUGGGGAACUGGGACUCCUCUGGGGAAUUGGAUUUUCUGUCUAUGAACUCUCUUAUUUCAGUUCUCAUCAGAAUGAUUGCAAAUACCUAAGUCCCUAGUCUUCCUUCAUCAACCUAACAUGAUUGCAUCUUUGCUUGAUGAGUCUGAGUUCUUUGAGUUCUUGGGCUCAUUAGUGUUCACUCUGUGGAAUUUGAUGUUGAUAUAAAUGUUUUAGGAGGUAGAGUUUGUUUACUUCUGAGUUUAGAAUGCAAAUACCAAUGAACUUUUAUGGUUUAGGUGGGAUCUCAAUAUACUUGUAUAUGAAGUAUCAGAAAAUAUUAGAGAAAUUUGAUAGUAAUAUAAUAUCUGUGAUUAUCUACUGUUUACUAUAUAUCAGGCAUUGUAAGUUUUUCAUGUGCAUUACCUCAUUUAUCUCUGAAAACCACACUAGGAGUCUGAUGCUAGGAAUCUCUUUUACAGAAGAUGAACUGCUGGGCUAGAGCAGAGUUUCUCAAACAUUAGUAUUCUUUCAAACCACCUGGGGGAUCUAAUUAAAAUGCCAAUUCUGAAUCGAAUACCUUGUUUCAGGCCGAGAUUAUGCAUUUCCGACAGUUUCCUAGGCAAUGUCAAUGAUAAACACUAGUAGAAAUGAGGACUUUGAAACUUUCCAGCCUCCUAGCUAGUUGAGAAACUAGACUAGCACUUGUGAAUUCAGAUGACUACCCUUGGCCACCAUUAGGUUCAGCAAACACACAUGAGGCUGCUGGGAUUCCUUCCCGGUCUACGGCAGACACUAACAUUGUACUCCAGCAUUCUCUCCUUCCCAGCCGCGAAAAUGAACUCACAUUUCUUCUCAGUAAAAAAAUUCCAAAAAUUCACUGGUAAUAAACCAAUCAGGAUAGGCCUGUGACAUGAAGCUUCUUUUCAUGAUUCUGCAGUUUCUACUUUGGCCAAAAGGCUUACAUGUCAGUCUUCCUUGAAAAAAGGAGUAAAUCAGUUGUUUUGAAAAUUGUUAUUUAACAUGAGUUCCCUGAGAAGCAUAGAGUCUUAUAGUGAUAUAUAAAAACAAAAGGAGAAAAUAAUAUCUAUAAUCUCA